UGGGGAAUAUUGCACAAUGGGCGCAAGCCUGAUGCAGCCAUGCCGCGUGUGUGAAGAAGGCCUUCGGGUUGUAAAGCACUUUCAGCGGGGAGGAAGGCGGUGAGGUUAAUAACCUCAUCGAUUGACGUUACCCGCAGAAGAAGCACCGGCUAACUCCGUGCCAGCAGCCGCGGUAAUACGGAGGGUGCAAGCGUUAAUCGGAAUUACUGGGCGUAAAGCGCACGCAGUCGGUUUGUUAAGUCAGAUGUGAAAUCCCCGGGCUCAACCUGGGAACUGCAUCUGAUACUGGCAAGCUUGAGUGUCGUAGAGGGGGGUAGAAUUCCAGGUGUAGCGAUGAAAUGCGUAGAGAUCUGGAGGAAUACCGGUGGCGAAGGCGGCCCCCUGGACGAAGACUGACGCUCAGGUGCGAAAGAGUGGGGAGCAAACAGG
rnacentral:rRNA from 1 species